GACGAACGCUGGCGGCGUGCUUAACACAUGCAAGUCGAACGCUGAAGCUCAGCUUUUGUUGGGUGGAUGAGUGGCGAACGGGUGAGUAACACGUGAGUAACCUGCCCCCUUCUUUGGGAUAACGCCCGGAAACGGGUGCUAAUACUGGAUAUUCACUGGUCUUCGCAUGGGGGUUGGUGGAAAGGGGUUUUCUGGUGGGGGAUGGGCUGGCGGCCUAUCAGCUUGUUGGUGGGGUGAUGGGCUACCAAGGCUUUGACGGGUAGCCGGCCUGAGAGGGUGACCGGUCACAUUGGGACUGAGAUACGGCCCAGACUCCUACGGGAGGCAGCAGUGGGGAAUAUUGCACAAUGGGCGCAAGCCUGAUGCAGCGGCGCCGCGUGAGGGAUGGAGGCCUUCGGGUUGUGAACCUCUUUCGCUCAUGGUCAAGCCGCAACAAUGGUUGUGGUGAGGGUAGUGGGUAAAGAAGCGCCGGCUAACUACGUG
rnacentral:rRNA from 1 species